GACGAACGCUGGCGGCGUGCUUAAAACAUGCAAGUCGAACGAGCACUUCGGUGCGAGUGGCAAACGGCUGAGUAACGCGUGGGUGACCUGCCUCGAAGUGGGGAAUAACUGCCCGAAAGGGUGGCUAAUACCGCAUGUGAUGGAUGAUCCAUUUCAUUCAUUAAAGCCGCAAGGCGCUUGGAGAGGGGCCCGCGUCCGAUUAGCUAGUUGGUGGGGUAAAGGCCUACCAAGGCGUCGAUCGGUAGCUGGUCUAAGAGGAUGAUCAGCCAGACUGGGACUGCGACACGGCCCAGACUCCUACGGGAGGCAGCAGUUAGGAAUUUUGGGCAAUGGGCGAAAGCCUGACCCAGCAACGCCGCGUGGGUGAUGAAGGCCUUAGGGUUGUAAAGCCCUUUUCCGAGGGAAGAUGAUGACGGUACCUCGGGAAUAAGCCCCGGCUAACUACGUGCCAGCAGCCG
rnacentral:rRNA from 1 species